rnacentral:lncRNA from 1 species
GGAGUGUUGCAGGGGAGAGAUCAGUGAAAAUCGCAGCAAUCUUAGGAAUAAGUAAUUUUGUGUAUCUGGCGCUGGGAGCGAACCAGACUUUCCUAAUUAGGACCGCGGCAUGGGUGAAACAAGCAAUUCUUCUUUCUCACAGAUAGCUGCAGCCGCAGUUCAUUAAUGAGCCGUCACUCGGGCAGGCUCCGGCGAGGAGCGCGGAUAGCCCCGCGGCCGGAGCGAGGAGGCUGCGGCGGGAGCGCGCUGUCGCAGCGCCCUGCGCCGCGGCUGCCACCGCGGGCUGCCGGCAUCGGACCCUGCCCCGGCUCGGCGCUUUGCCACAGCCUCAAGACCUGAACCACGCCUGGGGCUCUGGGCUGCUGUAACCUAGGAAGACAGUGAAGGCACAGUGACCAAUAAGCUGAGAAAAAGGAAAUGGGCUGAGAAGACAAUUUCAAUGGUCAUGUAAACCUGUGGCUGUCUGAAGUCCCGAGGCGUUUUGUGCAAGAACAGUGCCAUUAUCCACUGAAACCUGACCGUGUUCCACGCUGAGGGACAAGAUUCUGCAUUCAGAUUCCCCCUCCCACCACUGCAGUUGCACUCAUCCCCGGGUUUGUCCUGCGGCAGGACUGCUGGAGCCUGGCUCGCUGUACGAGCAGCCUUGUUGCUGUGCCGAGGGGAGUGUCCAGAUGCUUUUCUGGGUCUGCAGUGGUGGAAGCCAACUCCUGGAGCUCUGCCAAAGUGGACAUGGGUGAAACCCUGCAGUCAGGGGUCAUCAAUGGCAUCUUGCUCUCCCUCAGGAUGGAUCAGGAUCAGAUUUUACCCUGCCCUGGAUUGGCUUUGCAACAUUCACCAUGCCGUUCUGGAGGAGACAGCUUGCUGUCACCAGCUCUGGUCUCCAGCUAACUGUGCCAUCCUCAGUAGCUGCUGCACGUCCUGUCUCCAUGAAGCAGGGCUGGGUCUCAUUCCACAGGCACGGGCCUGUCACUGUGCCUCCUACUGCAUUCCAUGAUCCCUUCUCCACAGGGAAAAGGAGACCUGGUCAAUUCUACUGGCGCUGAACUGACUCCUAAGAGGAAGACAGGGUGGGAGACAGAGAGGAAGGCCAUCCUGGAUACCUAACAUCUGGGAUGAGGGAAGUCUCAAGGGCCCCAUGGUUCAGUUUUUAAAUCUAACUUGCAUGGCAGUGGGAAGUAUCCUUCAUGUCUUAGAUUCCAGACACUGUAAUUGGAUUUCCAAGCUUAUUAGUCGGUAGUGUGUGUUUACUGCAAAAGCCACUGAACCUGGCCUUCUUUUCCUGGGUAUCAGUGCCUUGCUGAAAAUGUACUUUCUAAUAGUAAGAGGUGUGCCACCAUGUGGAUCUUAAAAUGUAUUUUAAAGCCACAUUUGGCCUUCAGUGAGGAAAAGGUGAUCUAAUGGACUCUUCUUGGCCUGAUGUCUAUGAAUCCUUUCACAGUUUCCCAGGACACUCGGUGUGUUUGCUCAUGACGCUCCUGCAGCAGCAGUGGGCAGGGGCUGUGGUUCCUGCAGGGAUCUUCACCCCUGUCUUGCAGCCCAUCCCUCUCUCCUGCCCCAGGGGCUGAUUCCCACUGGCUGGACCAUGUCCUGGCUGCCUCCAGCUGAGACCUCCCUGGGCUAGUGCAAAUGAGGUUGCUGCAAAUCGCAUAAUGAAAAUUACUUCAGAUUUGUGCCAAGUUCAUUUCUCCCUCAAGGUCAGGGGACACUUUUUAUCCUGAACUCGUUCUUUCUACAUGCUGCCCUUUUUUAAACUGUUCUAGACUGAUGUCAUCCAUGCUGGUCUCAGCUAGAGGAGUAAUCUUCGUGGAAACUUUGAACAAAAUCCCCUCCACAUAUUUCAAAUGGGAGAGUGGUAAAAUAGACUUUGAUAAUUGUUAAAAGUAUAAUCAGUACUUUUGGCAAUGCCACAAGAGAAUAGAUGAUGUUGAAAAAUUAGCAGUAACACAGCUUUUGGCGGGGGGUGGUGGGGGAGUUGUACUGUGCUUGGUUGAAGG